UGGGAUGUGACUUAGUGGUAGAGUGCGUGCCUAGUACGUGUGAGGCCCUGGGUUUAAUCCUCAGCACCACAU
rfam:Ictidomys tridecemlineatus contig011580, whole genome shotgun sequence.